CAGCAGGCGGGACUGCAACACAACACGGGUCCUAGUGUUACGAGACCCGUGUUGCACAAAAAUUCGUUUUCGGUUGAGAUCUUAUAACCUCAAUAGAAUAAAAGCCUCAAUGUCCUGCUCAGACACACAGCCGAAGGCCAUCCUAUGAAAUGGCCUCACGAAUGGCAAGUCACACCAACUAUCCAUCUUGAUGACAUUUGGUUACAU